UACGUAGGUGACUAGCGUUGUCCGGAUUUACUGGGCGUAAAGAGCGCGCAGGCGGUCGUUCAAGUCGAGUGUGAAAGCCCCCGGCUCAACUGGGGAGGGUCAUUCGAUACUGAUCGACUCGAAGGCAGGAGAGGGUAGUGGAAUUCCCGGUGUAGUGGUGAAAUGCGUAGAUAUCGGGAGGAACACCAGUGGCGAAGGCGACUACCUGGCCUGUUCUUGACGCUGAGGCGCGAAAGCUAGGGGAGCAAACGGG
rnacentral:rRNA from 1 species